UCGCAAUCGGUUGGCAGUUGGGUUUCGGCCACGGCCCCAUCAUGAAGGGCAUUCAAUUGACUGUUGUGCUUCUGGCUAGCUUUUUUACUAGUUCUUACCAGCUCUCCAAGCCCGAGGAUGCAACCUAUUGGGCAGCGGUGGUAGAACACAAGGAAGCGGAGGGCGAUUCUCCCCGGCAACGCACCAAUUCCGCGUCAGUAUCCUUUCAGAAGAUCAUCAAGGAGGUCGACGAAGUGGACAUCAUCGUAUUUCCCGAGCAUCUUCUAAACAGUCGGAGCACAGCCACCUUUGUGCCCCACGAGUCCCAGAACAUUACGCCCUGCUACCAAGCGGACUACGAGCUGUUUCUAAUCGAGAUAUCCUGCGCGGCGAGAUCCAGGUCUCUCUAUGUGGUCAUAAAUGUGGUGGAGAAAGAACUAUGUGCCAACGGAGCCGGAUCCGACACCUUCGGCCCGUGUCCCUCGACGGGAGUUCGGUACUUCAACACCAAUGUGGUCUUCGACCGAAGGGGCAGGGUAAUCUCGCGGUACCGGAAAGGUCACCUGUGGCGUCACGAGUACGCGGAGACAUCGGUGCUCCGUUCGCCCGAUAUAUCCACCUUUGACACAGACUUCGGCGUAACCUUUGGCCACUUCAUAUGCUUCGAUAUGUUGUUCUAUGAGCCGGCAGUGCAGCUGGUGAGGGAACUGAACAUCACGGAUAUUGUUUAUCCCACUUACUGGUUUUCGGAACUGCCCUUCCUGGGAGCGGUGCAACUCCAAGAGGGCUGGGCCUUCGGCAAUGAUGUGAAUCUUCUGGCUGCAGAUGCCAGUCAACCCGGUGGAAAGACCACUGGAUCCGGGAUAUAUGCCGGUCGGGGUGGAAGACUUGUGGCGGAGAUUUUCGAGGAGCCCACAACCAAAUUGAUGAUAUCGGAGGUCCCGAAGAGAAGCCGUGGCCAACUGGCGCCCACUUUCACACCCGUCUUCACUCCCCAAUUGAAAACCCAAAGAGUCACUGGAGUGGCCACCUUCAGGGACUACAACGUGGAUAUAUUCGAGAGCGAGCUCUUGCCGGAGGAUUUCCUGAGCUUGGAAAGGCAGUUGUGCCACGGCAGCUUUUGCUGCUCCUUUGCCGUCGAACGGAAGGAGACCACAGCCAGCGCAGGGGAGGUCACCUCCACCGAUCCCAGGACCUAUCGCUAUAGGAUAGCCGCCUAUUGGGGCAAUCAAACGACCGUGAUUCGAGUGGACCGCACCGAGCAGGCCGUUUGUGCUCUGUUCGCUUGCACGGAUGCGCACAUCAGUACUUGCGGCUACAUAUUCCCCGCAGACCAGGAGGUCAUCAAUAAGCACCAUUUCACCAAGCUGAACAUCGCUGGCGACUUCCCAGCCGCUCCUCGGGGUCGUCGACUUAUCAUGCCCAGCACCCUGAACGCCCUCUUCCUGCCCGUCGCUGUUUCGGAUUUCGAUUGGACUGAGUCACCAGAGGCGGGGACCAAUCCGGACAAGCCUACAUCUGUGGCUCUAAGCCUAGCGAAGUCGCAAAACGACCUGCUGACCUUUGCCAUUUGGGCCAACUAUUUCACCGACUUGCCCAGCACCCACAACUUGGAUCACAUGCAACCGAAUGACACAAGUCCCUCGGCUUCCGGUGCCUUUGGGAUGUUUGCUUCCAGUGGUUUGUGGGUCCUAACCUGCCUGUUCCUUAUAACUACUAGAAAUAUAUAAUUUGUUCAGCCAAGCUAAUACCACAACAAAUACUUUAACAGCUAGAAAUUACACAGGAACCCAAAUUUUAACUCUUUGUUUUUGUUAUCCCAUGAUAUUUGGGUUUUCCUGAGUAAAUGUACCAUACAAACUUAUUUUCUGUCAGAAAAGAAUACAAAAAAACCUAUGUUUUUUGACAUUUUGAUUAUAAAGCCUACAAAGGACUUAUCUAAAUCAUCGAAACACUCUCUGUGUCAAGAGGGCUUUGCUAAAAAGUAGUCCCUGUCUUUGGUAUUUAACGUCAAAAUUUAAAUUUCCAAAAAUUUUCACAAUUUUUCUGAUGAAGAACCAUCUUUAAAAAAUAAAUCUUAAAUGUUAUACCUUUAAAAAGGAGCCAUUAACCCCUCGACAGCUGAGGUUUUAUCUACUCAAAUGCAUAAUCUACUCAUACCCGCUAUCACAAAAACGGUUUUCCACAGAAAUGGAGUAUUGCGUUCCCGGACCUAUGAUUUUCUCGGUGGAGCCAGUGGUGUUCCCCGAUACCGUUGAGAGCACCGACGAGUUCCCCAGACCCAGGGGACCCAUGCGAAGCUCGUUUGGCAGGAUGCUUCCCAAGCCCCGACCGAACCAUGCUGUCCCCGCUGUCCUUGCUGACCCUGCUGACCCUGCUGACCCUGCUGACCCUGCUAGUGGUGGUACCGAAGACCCCAGACUGCGUGGGGUCAAGCGCACGGUGAUGAAGAGCAAGCUCGAGGUACCCAAGGGCAGGAAGCGUGCUUCCACCAAGGCUGUGGUGAAGAAGAAGCGUGGUGCGGCCGCCAAGAAGAGUGGACUGCCGAAGACCACUGGCAUCCCAAAGCCCGGUGCAAAGGGAUCCAACAAGACGGCCAACCCCGAAGGGAGUACCAGCUGGCUCUUCUGUAAGAAGCGGUUCUGCAGCGAUCCCCAAGCCAAACGAAAUUAAGGAGCAGGGAUCUCCCGAUGAAUUUGUUCUGAUAUACGGAACUACUACUCCUACACAAGGAUUUUAAUUUACACCAUGAUCCAAAUCCAAACUUAAGGACCCGGCCUUCAGACCAAUUUCAUAAUAAACACGCCGCCAGCCGAGCACCGAAAGGGAUGCUCUGGGCCAGGUCCAUUAUGGACCUGCAGAUGGCCACAGAGACAUUGUAUUUAAAAGUAA